UCUCUAGUAACGAGGAGUUCUCCAACAGCUUCGCUGACCAAUGAGCAGGGAGCACCCCAGCCUCUCCCCUGCAGGGAGCCUGGUCUCCUUCAAUGUGGGAACUCCAGAGAUCAGAGUCUUGUUUUUUCUGUGAAUGGCCAGCAUCUAGUUUAGUAUUUGUCAAAGGGUUGUGCAAUUGCCUUGUAACACAGAAUGUCAAAGUGAAGCUCAAAGGGACUUAAAGAAAUGGGCCAAGACUGUCCUUUCCAGCCUAUUACAUGCCUACUAUGUGCCAAGCACACCUCUAAGCUCUGUGGAUACAGCAUGGAAUGAAACAAGUUCCUGUUUUCAUGGAGGAAGGAAGGAGAGGUGGAGCUGUUCCUGAGGGAAUCAGAUCACCAGACGUCACUGGACCUUUGCCCUCAGCUACUUCCUCCUGCGGGGGAUACUCUGUCCCAAGGGCACCUCUUCUGUCAGCUUCUGCAGAAGGAGAGAGAAGAUAAUGAUACUGGAAGCCUGGAGCUCAGGGGCAGGCUGGGACAGAGCCUAAAACGGUGUCCUGCAACCACCAUUAAAUACUGACUGACUUCAUUAAUGAGUCAUUACCAUUCGGGAUUGAGAGAAGAACAUUAUUAAAGGCUUCAUGAGUGCCAGUGCUUUGAUGUCUUAUGUAUAAUAACUUAUAUUACUACUGCCACAGAGAAAGAAACAAAGCCUGGGGAGGUGAAUUAACUCACCAAAAAGCACUCACCAAAUGAUUCCAAACCCAGGCCUCCCCUGUCCCCCCCCCUUUUUAAAAAUAAAUGUUUUUGUCUUG